rnacentral:rRNA from 1 species
AUACGGAGGGUGCGAGCGUUAAUCGGAAUUACUGGGCGUAAAGCGCGCGUAGGCGGAUACUUAAGUCAGGGGUGAAAUCCCGAGGCUCAACCUCGGAACUGCCCUUGAUACUGGGUAUCUUGAGUUCGAGAGAGGUAAGUGGAAUUCCGAGUGUAGAGGUGAAAUUCGUAGAUAUUCGGAGGAACACCAGAGGCGAAGGCGGCUUACUGGCUCGAUACUGACGCUGAGGCGCGAAAGCGUGGGGAGCAAACAGGAUUAGAAACCCGGGUAGUCC